UCAUGUAUGAUGGGCUGGAUGCUGUGGGUGUGGAUCAGCAGCCCAUCAUGAACCACAACCCCUGGAUGCUGCUAUACUUCAUCUCCUUCCUCCUCAUCGUGGCCUUCUUUGUCCUGAACAUGUUUGUGGGCGUGGUGGUGGAGAACUUCCAUAAGUGCAGACAGCACCAGGAGGAGGAGGAGGCGAGGCGGCGUGAGGAGAAGCGACUACGGAGGCUGGAGAAAAAGAGAAGGAGUAAGGAGAAGCAGAUGGCCGGUCGGUAGUCUUUCCACAUCUCUCUGGGUCAUGCUUGACCUUGGCCUUGCGACUGCAGGGGGUUAGGAGCUGGGGUCUGGGGCUGGGAGAAGUGCUCCUGCCCUCCCCCUCAUCUCCUUUCCUCAACAGCAUGUCCGCCUUUAGAGCCUGCAUGAAGCAGACCA
rnacentral:lncRNA from 1 species